GAUGAACGCUGGCGGCGUGCUUAACACAUGCAAGUCGAACGGACAGGCCCUGCUCUUGUGGCGUGCUCGAUUGGCGAACGGGUGAGUAACACGUGUGUAACCUGCCCUUGUCUUUGGGAUAACUUCAGGGAACACGGGCUAAUAUCGGAUAGGAUCUCCUGCUGCAUGGUGGUGGUUGGAAAGAUUCGGCUGUUGGGGAUGGAAUCGCUGCUUAUCCGCUGGUUGGUGGGGUAGUGGCUUACAAAGGGUUUGACGGGUAGCCUGCCUGGGAGGGUGGACGGCGACAAUAGGACUGAGAUACGGACCAGACUCGUACGGGAGGCAGCAGUGGGGAGUAUGGCGCAAUGGGCGGACGCCUGAUGCAGAAACGCCGCGUGCGGGAUGACGGCCUUCGGGUGAUAAACCGCUUUCGAAGGAGACGAAGCGUGAGUGACGGUAAUGGGUAAAGAAGCACCGGCUAACUACGUG
rnacentral:rRNA from 1 species